rnacentral:tRNA from 1 species
GCUGUGGUGGUGGAAUGGCAGACACGCCAGCUUGAGGGGCUGGUCCCAGCAAUGGGGUGGAGGUUCAAGUCCUCUCCACAGCACCA